GGCAGACAAUGGCAAGACGAGGGAGACCUCGCUCGCGCAAAGCCACGGGCCUCAUGCAGGCAGCCGAGCCGCCUAU
rfam:Armatimonadetes bacterium OLB18 TZ18_ATM00100CONTIG000166, whole genome shotgun sequence.